rnacentral:rRNA from 1 species
UACGGGGGGGGCAAGCGUUGUUCGGAAUUACUGGGCGUAAAGGGCGCGUAGGCGGCCUGCUAAGUCGGACGUGAAAUCCCUCGGCUCAACCGGGGAACUGCGUCCGAUACUGGUGGGCUCGAAUCCGGGAGAGGGAUGUGGAAUUCCAGGUGUAGCGGUGAAAUGCGUAGAUAUCUGGAGGAACACCGGUGGCGAAGGCGGCUUGCUGGGCCAGUUCUGACGCUGAGGAGCGAAAGCGUGGGGAGCAAACCGG